AAAACCCAACUUAUUUAUGUGUGGCAACGAAGCGUUGAAACAGGAUAAUAUCGACAGUUUUAUAUAUUAAAAAAAAUUAGAUUAUCAUCUGAAAUCGUGGGUUAUCCUCAAAAAUGACCGAGAACAACCAAGAAGGGCAAAGGAAGCAAUGCAAAGGUGGUGUCAGCAGGAAACGAAAGCUUUCUGAUCCUGAAUGCUCAGUUUCAUGUAAAAGUGAGUUUACCUUGUUGUUACUUGUAGACAGUCCUACUUGGAAAAUAUUGUGGAAAAAGUCCCAUGUUGACAGUACUGAUAGUGGG
ensembl:lncRNA